GGUUUAAUUCGAAGCAACGCGAAGAACCUUACCAGGUCUUGACAUCCCGAUGCUAUUUCUAGAGAUAGAAAGUUACUUCGGUACAUCGGUGACAGGUGGUGCAUGGUUGUCGUCAGCUCGUGUCGUGAGAUGUUGGGUUAAGUCCCGCAACGAGCGCAACCCCUAUUGUUAGUUGCCAUCAUUCAGUCGGGCACUCUAGCGAGACUGCCGGUAAUAAACCGGAGGAAGGUGGGGAUGACGUCAAAUCAUCAUGCCCCUUAUGACCUGGGCUACACACGUGCUACAAUGGUUGGUACAACGAGUUGCGAGUCGGUGACGGCGAGCUAAUCUCUUAAAGCCAAUCUCAGUUCGGAUUGUAGGCUGCAACUCGCCUACAUGAAGUCGGAAUCGCUAGUAAUCGCGGAUCAGCACGCCGCGGUGAAUACGUUCCCGGGCCUU
rnacentral:rRNA from 1 species